AUUGAACGCUGGCGGCAGGCCUAACACAUGCAAGUCGAGCGGAGCGGCGGACGGGUGAGUAAUGCCUAGGAAUCUGCCUGGUAGUGGGGGAUAACGUCGGGAAACGGUCGAUAAUACCGCAUACUAUCAAAUGAACCUAGGUCGGAUGAGCUAGUUGGUGGGGUAAAGGCCUACCAAGGCGACUAUCCGUAACGGGUCUGAGAGGAUGAUCAGUCAAAUUGGAAUUGAUACACGUUCCAUCCUCCUAGGGUAAGCAGCAGUGGGUAAUAGUGGACAAUGGGUGAAAGCCUGAUCCAGCCAUGCUGCGCGUGUGAAAAAGCGUUUCGCAUUGUAAAGCACUUGAAGUUAGGAGGAGUUCCCAACAGAAUAAGCCAGGGCUAAAUUCGUGCCAGCAGCCGCGGUAAUUC
rnacentral:rRNA from 1 species